UGGGGAAUAUUGGACAAUGGGGGAAACCCUGAUCCAGCGACGCCGCGUGGGUGAAGAAGGCCUGCGGGUUGUAAAGCCCUUUCGGUUGGGAAGAACAGUAUUGACCUAACACGUCAGUACCUUGACGUAACCAACAAAAGAAGCACCGGCUAACUCUGUGCCAGCAGCCGCGGUCAUACGUAGGAUCCAAGCGUUAUCCGGAUUUACUGGGCGUAAAGAGUUGCGUAGGUGGUAUGUUAAGCAAAUAGUGAAAUCGUGUGGCUCAGCCAUGCAUCCAUUAUUUGAACUGGCAAACUUGAGAGCGAGAGAGGUAGAUGGAAUUACUAGUGUAGGAGUGAAAUCCGUAGAUAUUAGUAGGAACACCGAUGGCGUAGGCAGUCUACUGGCUCGUUUCUGACACUAAGGCACGAAAGCGUGGGGAGCAAAC
rnacentral:rRNA from 1 species